rnacentral:rRNA from 1 species
CCUACGGGAGGCAGCAGUGAGGAAUAUUGGUCAAUGGCCGGAAGGCUGAACCAGCCAUGCCGCGUGAAGGUCAGUGCCCUAUGGGCGUUAAACUUCUUUUGUGCGGGAGCAAUAAUGGUCACGUGUGGCCAGACGAGAGUACCGUACGAAUAAGCAUCGGCUAACUCCGGUCCAGCCGCCGCGGUAAUACUGGGGAUGCCAGCGUUAUCCGGAUUUAUUGGGUUUAAAGGGGUCGUAGGCUGGGAGGUAAGUCAGCGGUGAAAUGCCCCCGCUCAACGGGGUGAAGUGCCAUUGAUACUGCCUUGCUGGAAUGCGGAUGCCGUGGGAGGAAUGUGUGGUGUAGCGGUGAAAUGCAUAGAUAUCACACAGAACACCGAUUGCGAAGGCAUCUCACGAAGCCGCGAUUGACGCUGAUGCACGAAAGCGUGGGUAUCAAACAGGAUUAGAUACCCGUGUAGUC